CCUAUUGUAAUAACGUUGCGGGCGAAAUACUCCGGCUGGCAAAGGUUAAGGCCUAACGUCCGAGCCGUAUGGGAUCCAGACUCGGAAAUAGGACUAAGGCAGUCAGCCGAGUAGACCGAAACCGGGUGAUCUAUCCAUGUUCCAGGUUGAAGUUGCCGUAAAAGGCAAUGGAGGACCGAACCCACAUCCGUUGAAAAGGUGGGGAUGAGGUGUGGAUAGGGGAGAAAUUCCAAUCGAACCCGGAGAUAGCUGGUUCUCCUCGAAAUAGCUUUAGGGCUAGCCUCAUACGAGUCUUGCGGAGGUAGAGCACUGAAUUUCCUAGGGGGCGUCAAAGCUUACCGAAGAAUAUCAAACUCCGAAUGCCGCGUAGAUGAUGUAUGGGAGUCAGACUGCACGAGAUAAGUUGGGCAGUCGAAAGGGAAAGAGCCCAGACCUGCGGCUAAGGCCCCAAAAUGUGUGUUAAGUGGAAAAGGAUGUGGGAUUUCGAAGACAACUAGGAUGUUGGCUCAGAAGCAGCCAUGCAUUCAAAGAGUGCGUAAUAGCUCACUAGUCGAGAGGUCCCGCGCCGAAAAUGUCCGGGGCUGAAACACACUGCCGAAGCCCGGGGAUGUACCAAGUACAUCGGUAGAGGAGCAUUGGAUGCGGGAGGAAGCGGCACCGGAAGGAGCCGUGGACCGCAUCGAAGAGAGAAUGCCGGAAUGAGUAGCGAGAGGAAGGUGGGAAUCCUUCCGGCCGAAUAUCCAAGGUUUCCAGAGUAAAGCUGAUCUGCUCUGGGUAAGUCGGGGCCUAAGGCGAGGGCGGGAGCCGUAGCCGAUGGACAACAGGUUGAGAUUCCUGUACCGCGAUAUGACAGAACUGUGGGGACACGCGUGGAAAGCAUAAGCCGGGAAUGGAAAGACCGGCGCAAGCGGGGCAGGGGCUGCAUAGGCAAAUCCGUGCAGCGUAACCCGAAGCCGUGACGCGUACCGAACUGCAAGUAGGGAAGUAUGCGAGCCAUGCGUCAAGAAAAGCCGCUAUCGCUCAUAUCGCGCCCGUACCGCAAACCGACACAGGUAGAUGAGGAGAGAAUCCUAAGGCCGACGGGAGAAGCAUUGUCAAGGAACUCGGCAAAAUGACUCCGUAACUUCGGGAGAAGGAGUGCCAUAGAGAUAUGGCCGCAGAGAAUUGGCCCAAGCAACUGUUUAGCAAAAACACAGGUCUAUGCGAAGCCGCAAGGCGAGGUAUAUGGGCUGACGCCUGCCCGGUGCUGGAAGGUUAAGGGGAGAGGUUAGAGCGAUCGAAGCCUUGAACUUAAGCCCCAGUAAACGGCGGCCGUAACUAUAACGGUCCUAAGGUAGCGAAAUUCCUUGUCGGGUAAGUUCCGACCCGCACGAAAGGCGUAAUGAUUUGGGCACUGUCUCGACAAUGCACCCGGUGAAAUUGAAGUACCAGUGAAGAUGCUGGUUACCCGCGCCAGGACGGAAAGACCCCAUGGAGCUUUACUCCAGCUUGAUACUGGGAUCCGGUAUUGCAUGUACAGGAUAGGUGGGAGGCUAGGAAGCGGGGACGCCAGUCGCCGCGGAGCCGCUGUUGGGAUACCACCCUUGCAGUGCUGGGUUUCUAACCAGCAGCCGUGAACCGGCUGGGGGACAAUGUCAGGCGGGGAGUUUGACUGGGGCGGUCGCCUCCGAAAGGGUAUCGGAGGCGCUCAAAGGUCCUCUCAGAAUGGUCGGAAACCAUUCGCAGAGCGCAAAGGCAGAAGAGGGCUUGACUGCGACACCGACGGGUGGAGCAGGUACGAAAGUAGGACUUAGUGAUCCGGUGGUAUAAAGUGGGAUUGCCAUCGCUCAACGGAUAAAAGCUACCCUGGGGAUAACAGGCUUAUCACUCCCAAGAGUUCACAUCGACGGAGUGGUUUGGCACCUCGAUGUCGGCUCAUCGCAUCCUGGGGCUGAAGUAGGUCCCAAGGGUUGGGCUGUUCGCCCAUUAAAGCGGUACGCGAGCUGGGUUCAGAACGUCGUGAGACAGUUCGGUCCCUAUCCGGCGCGGGCGUAGGAUAUUUGAGAGGAGCUGUCCUUAGUACGAGAGGACCGGGAUGGACUGGCCGCUGGUGGAUCU
rnacentral:rRNA from 1 species